UACAGAGGUCUCAAGCGUUGUUCGGAUUCAUUGGGCGUAAAGGGUGCGUAGGCGGCGCGGUAAGUCGGGUGUGAAAUCUUGGAGCUUAACUCCGAAACUGCAUUCGAUACUGGGUGACUUGAGUACUGGAGGGGAGACUGGAAUUUACGGUGUAGCAGUGAAAUGCGUAGAUAUCGUAAGGAAGACCAGUGGCGAAGGCGGCUUUCUGGACCGACACUGACGCUGAGGCGCGAAAGCUAGGGGAGCAAACGGG
rnacentral:rRNA from 1 species